CCACUCCGUACGCAGGACACCGGCCGCCCGCUCCCGGGCCCGCCACCGGGCCCACAGCCCGCCCCUGCCCGCCCCCCGGCCCGCCCCGGCGCAGCCACGGCCCCCUCCCUUCCCCGCGGCAAAAUGGCGGCUCGGGAGUCGGCGCCUUCCCUACCGGGCCUCAGACUUUGGGCCCCCGCACCGUCGCAGACCCGGGCCACGUGGAGGAUACCCUCGCCUCUCCCCUUCCGCCGGACCCCGAGAGGCCCGCCCGCCGCCCGCGGACUGGGCGGGCAGCGCGGGGAAGGGCGGGGCCGCGAGCUGGGGGUUCCCCGCCCGCGGGACCAGCUGCGCGUGCGCAGAGAGCAGGAAAAUGGAUGGAACUAAAGAACAUUAUGUUAAGCGAAAUAAGCCAGACAGAAGGACAAGUAUUGUGUGUUUCCUCUCAUGUAUGGAAGCUAGAGGGAAUAGGGAAUAAAAGAAAAGAAAAAAAAGGGAAUAUUUUCUGGGACAGUUGCUAGGCUGGGAAGAAUAAGAACUGAAUCCUGGGAUUGGAAUUGUUCAACACUGGAUUUUGAUGCUUCAUUUUAUUGACUUGAAAAGUGAAGAUUGGUGAUUGCCUCAUUCCUAAUUCACGGUUUAUUAGGAGGAUCAAGUGACAUCCUGCUUGCCACAGUGCUUUGAAAGAGGAAAUCUUGACAGAAGUACAAAUAGCCAGCAUACACAGAGAGAAACAUAGUCCACAGAUAAUAGAUGAAAUGUAAAUUAAAUUAUCUGGUUAUCAUUUUCCAUUUGUUAGAUGAGAAAAGAUUCACCCAUAAAGGUAAAUAAUGUGAUGAUGCUGGUGAUGACAGCAAAAGCUUCCUCUUUUUUGGGCUUCCUAUAUUCCAGGCACUGUUCUUAGAACUUUAUUAAUUCAUCUAUUCCUUAUAAUAAAUAUGUAUAAUACAUAUAGCAGUAAACUAUUUUCCCAUUUUAUAGAUUAAAAACGAGAGGCACUAAAAAGUUAAGUGACUUGUCUGAGGUUACUAGUAAAAUGUCAAAGUGAGUAUUUUAGCCACGAUUUACAGGGCAAUGCAUAUCCAAAAGGAAACACGUUCAGGUCCACUCCCUUUAUUCCUCUGUCAUUGUCGUUGAAACAAAUGACAGAUGGUAAGCAAACAGUGAAUGCAUAACUCAGGUGGGCGUUCAUUUACUCCCCAUCUAAGUGUAAGUUUUUACAUCAUUUCUGGAGGCCACU